rnacentral:rRNA from 1 species
UGCGUAGGCGGGCUAAUAAGUCAGUGUUGAAAUCUCUCGGCUCAACCGGGAAACUGCCAUUGAUACUGUUAGUCUUGAGUUCGGUUGAGGUAGGCGGAAUGUGUAAUGUAGCGGUGAAAUGCUUAGAUAUUACACAGAACACCAAUUGCGUAGGCAGCUUACUAGACCGACACUGACGCUGAGGCACGAAAGCGUGGGGAGCGAACAGGAUUAGAUACCCUGGUAGUCC